rnacentral:rRNA from 1 species
GUGCCAGCCGCCGCGGUAAUUCCAGCUCCAAUAGCGUAUAUUAAAGUUGUUGUGGUUAAAAAGCUCGUAGUUGAACCUUGGGCCUGGCUGGCCGGUCCGCCUCACCGCGUGCACUGGUCCGGCCGGGCCCUUCCCUCUGUGGAACCCCAUACCCUUCACUGGGCGUGGCGGGGAAACAGGACAUUUACUUUGAAAAAAUUAGAGUGCUCCAGGCAGGCCUAUGCUCGAAUACAUUAGCAUGGAAUAAUAAAAUAGGACGCGCGGUUCUAUUUUGUUGGUUUAUAGGACCGCCGUAAUGAUUAAUAGGGACAGUCGGGGGCAUCAGUACUCAACUGUCAGAGGUGAAAUUCUUGGAUCAGUUGAAGACUAACUACUGCGAAAGCAUUUGCCAAGGAUGUUUUCAUUAAUCAGGAACGAAAGUUAGGGGAUCGAAGACGAUCAGAUACCGUCGUAGUCUUAACCAUAAACUAUGCCGACUAGGGAUCGGACGGUGUUAUUCAUGACCCGUUCGGCACCUUACGAGAAAUCAAAGUGCUUGGGCCCCAGGGGGAGUAUGGUCGCAAGGCUGAAACUUAAAGAAAUUGACGGAAGGGCACCACCAGGGGUGGAGCCUGCGGCUUAAUUUGACUCAACACGGGGAAACUCACCAGGUCCAGACACAAUAAGGAUUGACAGAUUGAGAGCUCUUUCUUGAUUUUGUGGGUGGUGGUGCAUGGCCGUUCUUAGUUGGUGGGGUGACUUGUCUGCUUAAUUGCGAUAACGAACGAGACCUUAACCUGCUAAAUAGCCCGCAUUGCUCCGGCAGUGCGCUGGCUUCUUAGAGGGACUUUCG